rnacentral:rRNA from 1 species
AUUGAACGCUGGCGGCAUGCCUUACACAUGCAAGUCGAACGGUAACAGGUUAAGCUGACGAGUGGCGAACGGGUGAGUAAUAUAUCGGAACGUGCCCAGUCGUGGGGGAUAACUGCUCGAAAGAGCAGCUAAUACCGCAUACGACCUGAGGGUGAAAGCGGGGGAUCGCAAGACCUCGCGCGAUUGGAGCGGCCGAUAUCAGAUUAGGUAGUUGGUGGGGUAAAGGCCUACCAAGCCUACGAUCUGUAGCUGGUCUGAGAGGACGACCAGCCACACUGGGACUGGGACACGGCCCAGACUCCUACGGGAGGCAGCAGUGGGGAAUUUUGGACAAUGGACGCAAGUCUGAUCCAGCCAUGCCGCGUGCGGGAAGAAGGCCUUCGGGUUGUAAACCGCUUUUGUCAGGGAAGGAAAGGUUCUGGUUAAUACCUGGGACUCAUGACGGUACCUGAAGAAUAAGCACCGGCUAACUACGUGCCAGCCGCCGCCGUAACAC